UCAUAAGUUGUAACCUAACCUAAUCAGUAAACUAACUGAGAGAGCUCACUUAUCGUUCAUAAUGCAUUCAAUGUUGUUGAAGAACGUAAGCGUUAAAGCGUGACAAGUUUAUUUUUAAGAAUUGUGCUUAUUUGUUUCUGACAGUUAUUUUAUAACAAUCUGUAUAAUGAUGGAGACUGUUACAAUUGUAUCGCCAAUAUUUAUAAUUACCGAGAUCAAAGGGUGCAUCAAAAAGUACAAAUACUCAGUCUUUCCAGGUCCAUUUAGUGAAAUAUUUUUUCGACCUGCGGCAACAGUGGACAGAACGAAAGUCUACCACAUCGGUUAUAACAAAUAACAUAAGGUUGGCUCAAGAAGAAUGUGGAACCAGGCCGUAUCUACAGGCUUCAAUAACAAAUUGAUUAUAUGUAAGAUCUUCCAUCCAAAGUCGAUCGAUUUUCUGUAAUGGCGUGACGACAGAAAGGCUAAGUAGAAUGUUUAAAAACUUGAUGAGACAUUAAAAGCAUAGUUUUGAGACUUGAGUCACUCGCGGAGAUAUAUAUAACGCAUGAAAGUCUGUACACAAUCACACGCUCACGAAAGGAAAAACAAACUCGCCAAAAACAAUCUCACUGUCCGCGUCGAAUUUUUCCACCAAUAAGAGUUGUCGGACAGACGAAAGCGAAACGGCUAAUAAGAUGUAAUGUUGUUCUUCAAACAACACAUGAAUGCAUGCUUUAGCAACAAGAAGCUACUAUUAGGAGCUACUAAUGAAAUCACGAUAAGUCUUCUUAACCGAUGAAUAGGUCGUUUGACAAGAAAAGAAUAAAAGCAAACCAACCAAUUACAAUGAAUGAGUUCUAAUACACACGAAUAUGUUGUUUUUUCGAGCAUCGACGCUCCAUACAAACGAUGCCAAUCUUCAGUGUCUGUCGAAAACCUGUCUAGCUACGUCCUCUGGGAUUCCUCUGAAUAAAUCGGCUUAAAAAGCCUGUUGAUAGCCUACUUUUGAAGCUGUAAGAAUGUCUCAGGUUUCGUAUCGAAAAUCUCGCGGCAAGUUCUAAGGAACUAUAGAAUAACUAAGGAAAUAGAAUAACAUCGUGAGAGAUUAUUAAUAAGAGUGUUAAUUUCUUAAAGAGACUGUAACGGAAUUUAGUGGUCAGAAUAUUUGGCAGAAAACGAGAAAUAAUGGAUUAAAUAUAAGGUUAAGAGGAAAACACUUUUAUUUAAUGAGAAUAGGGACUUGAACUCACGUACGGGAUUCAAAAUCACAUACAGAACUUGACGCAUGUCGUUACGCCACACUUGUCAUACAAUUAUUGACCUAGCGUUGUAUUCCACUUGCGUCAUUAUUACCGUAACUAAUCAUAUCGUAAAGUGUCAAUAAUAUCAAUGAUGGCGUUAGUGUCAAAUAUACCUCUGCGUUCAGAGGGUCGAUUGUGUAUCUCAAAAUGAGAUGAAAAUUAUAAAAGUGAGCAAAGGUUACUAGGUAUUGAUCAAUUAAAUUAUGAAAAUUAUAGUGAUAUUUGUUCACUUUUGUAAUUUUCACCUCAUUUCAAGAUAUAUAAUCGACCCCCUGAUUUUCCACUCGGAUACACCCAGACAUUCAGAAAGCAUUUAGAUUCUUUUUAAGUGCCUUUAUUGAGCACUUUAGGUAGCCUUUAGGUAGAACGUUCAGAUUCCUACUCUAUCCACUCGGAAGAAUGGUUUUUAGCAUCCGAUUUCUUGAGCCAGAUGGAAUGAGUAGUGGCGCAUUAAAGACUUCCUGUGCUAUCCCAGCAUGUUUGACGUGCAUCUACACGAAAAUUUAAAUUUCAGGUUACGCUUAUUAUAAACAAUAUAAACCAUAAUUCAAAGGAAGCCAAUUUAAUCAUCUAUUAAGUUUUACAGGUCGAGAGACUUAGAUAUUGUAAGAUAUUUAUUUUAUAUCUUUUAUCAUUAUUAUAUACGUAUUUUAGUCACAUGUAAUUAGUUAUAUGUAAUUCAUAUUAAAUCUGAUAUAUUUAUGUUACUAUUUGCUGUAAUCGAUGGCAAGACACUCUUAGAGUGCGUUCAGAUUCCCAAAUCACUCCGGUAUUUUUCGCUCCGCCCACACAUCCAGUCACCCAGCGAUUACUCACCCGGUGAGGAAUCUGAACACAGCCUCAGAAUACAAUUACAUGUAGCGCGGUAUGCGAUACAGAAACUAACUGGGUAACUAUAGGAACCGCGCAAACUGCUGCUUGUUUCUUCUCCCUAACAGCAUAAACGUCGAUAUGUCUACUGUAAUUUGACUUUGCUAAGUCAGGAUUGUAAAGUCGACUCUAAAGGCCUGACUUAGCAAAGUUAAGUCGACUUUGUAUAGACAUCCUUCCAAUGUCGACUUUAGGACAUCUAAACUUUAGGACGGCGAUUUACGCUUACAAAAUUGGAAUCAUUUCUUGUUGUUUAACUAUUUUAUAGUUAAACUAGGAUGAAUGCUGAGCGUUGUGGGCAUAAAUCGGAUUACUGCCUAUAAGAAUAAUAUAUAAUCUAUUUUUUAAAAUAGUCGACUUAAGUCGACUUUAAGUCGAUUUGCCAAAAAGCCUGCACAAAAUAUUCAUGAGAUGUCGUUGUAGUGUACGCGCACAUGAUUGCGCAUGAUGCAGCAUAUAAUAGCUAAAUGGCGAAUGCAGAAAUAGCAGCCGGGAGUCUGUUAAUAAUUAAAGAAUAGAAUUAAUAUUAUUAAAGAUUUGGAAACACAAGUGCAACUAUGUCAGAGCCGGAUUGUGUAGGUUAAUUAUUUAUGAUUAAAUAACAUUAUUUAUGAUUAAAUAAUCUGAAAAUACUCAAACAAUUUUCUGAGUUGUCGAAACGUCAACGAAAUCGGCGAACUUUACUUUAUUACAAUACUUUAUUACAAUAACCAAGGCAUCGCAAUUAAAUAUAAACUCUACUUCGAAACAGAUUAACGAUUCGAAAAGUAUGAAAAAUAAUUAUCUUAUAUCAUUAACAGUGCCAUAUUUCCUUUGUAACUUUAUUUAAAUUUCUGUAGAAAGACAACAAAAAUCUACGAUAAAAAUUCCCGGCAUUUCAUCUAUCAGCCCUGGGAAAGUCAAGCCAACGGAUCGUCAUCAAGAGCGACACGAUGAACAUUACUUAUCUGAUAUAUAAGAUUUAUGCACGUAAAGAAGCUGAGAUAAAUCCUUCUCUUAAGGAAUGUUUCUCUUUUGAGAACACAAAUUAGACCACAAAUUGAUUGAGGUUUAUUGGAUCAAGUCUGUUCUAAAUGAACUAAUGAGCGUUUUUCUGUUGCAAUUUCUUCAUAUCAUUACAAGCGAAUGCAGAGACUAUAUCCAUAAGAAACUGAAAAGAUUGUCCAGACAAAUGUACGCUAUUGAAGCUCUAUUAAAAAAAGGAAAUGAGGAUGAAGUGAUGAGAUUGUAGCACAAGAUCUGAUAUCUUCAUUGCCUCUAAUGACGUUGAAACAGUUCUUGCGAAAAUCAGUUGGAAGUGAAUACCAACAUGAGAAAACAAUUUGAACAUAUGUCGAAUCGGAGGUUCGACGGAUAAGCAGUUUAUUAGAAAUACUUUAUCACAAAUUAUCUCUAAUGAAAUAGUCACUCAAAUAUCAUAGACAGGUCAGAAGAGUGAUGCAAGCUUUAAAUCUACAUUCAUAUCUAAACUCUAGUAAUUGACUCGAUGAUGAAACGGUUACCAGGUUCGACAUCUGCCGAAUUAAAAAAAGCCAUCAAAAAAUGAUUCUGUCGCUCAGAUAACAGAAUAAGAAACGUUACAAAACAAAAUAAACAGUAUAAACAAUAUAUAAAAUAUAUAAUGUA